UCACAGUUAAGAAUACCCACCCCGUUUUGUUAUCAUUAUUAUUUUUUUACCUCAGACUUGAAAUGGGUGAGAUGAAGAUAGUAAACGACAACAUGACUUUCUUUUAACAGCACCUUGAAAAAAUACACUGCACUAGCAAAGGCAUUAAGAGGGGGAGAAAAGCCUUCAGACCCAAUGGUUAUAGGGCCCCGCAACGUGUGUGAGAGCAUAAGGGGACACGGUGACAACAUUGUCAUGGGUUAAUGUUAAUGCUUUAUGAGAAGGAAUUUGGUUCAAUUCAUUUACUUCAGAGGACUGUUCUGGACCUUCAUUAGC
rnacentral:lncRNA from 1 species